UGAUAGCGUUGAAGCGAGAGGUUGCUGCCCACAAAGUGAGGCAGGUUUUCCGUGGAG
rfam:Clostridium bolteae CAG:59 genomic scaffold, scf64